rnacentral:rRNA from 1 species
UCAGGCCUAACACAUGCAAGUCGAGCGGAAACGAGUUAUCUGAACCUUCGGGGAACGAUAACGGCGUCGAGCGGCGGACGGGUGAGUAAUGCCUAGGAAAUUGCCCUGAUGUGGGGGAUAACCAUUGGAAACGAUGGCUAAUACCGCAUGAUGCCUACGGGCCAAAGAGGGGGACCUUCGGGCCUCUCGCGUCAGGAUAUGCCUAGGUGGGAUUAGCUAGUUGGUGAGGUAAGGGCUCACCAAGGCGACGAUCCCUAGCUGGUCUGAGAGGAUGAUCAGCCACACUGGAACUGAGACACGGUCCAGACUCCUACGGGAGGCAGCAGUGGGGAAUAUUGCACAAUGGGCGCAAGCCUGAUGCAGCCAUGCCGCGUGUGUGAAGAAGGCCUUUGGGUUGUAAAGCACUUUCAGUCGUGAGGAAGGUGGUGUAGUUAAUAGCUGCAUUACUUGACGUUAGCGACAGAAGAAGCACCGGCUAACUCCGUGCCAGCAGCCGCGGUAAUACGGAGGGUGCGAGCGUUAAUCGGAAUUACUGGGCGUAAAGCGCAUGCAGGUGGUUUGUUAAGUCAGAUGUGAAAGCCCGGGGCUCAACCUCGGAAUAGCAUUUGAAACUGGCAGACUAGAGUACUGUAGAGGGGGGUAGAAUUUCA